AGUGAAUGGUGCUGGUGGUGUCCUCCUUUUGCCAGGCUGUUUGUGUCCCACCACCUUGGGCUCUUGUGUUCUUCAAUUCCCUUGGCCUGUGUAUUCUUCGGGAACGUUUUGUUGUCUGUGGCAAUGGAAAUGGCACCCAGCAGCUCAGUAGCCCUAAGCCUCAGUGUUCUUAGGAAAACAGCAUUACAUUUUAAUAGGAAAUUUCAACCUGAACAGUCCUCCUUCAUCAGAAGAAAGAUGGUGAACUUGAAUGUUUUUCACUUCUUUGCAAUGCACAAAGAAUUCUGUGCUGGUGCGAGCGUUAAAGAUAGAGUGUAACAGCAUUCUCCCCACCUUUCAACAUGUUCCAUGUACCAGGAGGCCGACAUUACCAUGUCUCAGGAUGAUCUCUCCGGAGCUGUAUAUUUACCCUUAUGAAAGACCAAGAUUCUCUCACCUAUUUUCUCUGAAAUCAAUAAGAAGACACACAGCCCCGUUUAUACAAGAAGCAGCAAUUCCCAGAGAAAAUAGCGUUUAA
rnacentral:lncRNA from 1 species